GCGAACUCCUCAAGGCAAUUUAGUCUCAGGGCCCAGGCUUCAAUUGGAGCAAUAUUUCCCUCAGUGUUGUUUUAGAGAGACGAGAGGGCUUUAAAUAAACAACAACAACAACAACGAUAAUUUAUGCAUAUAUCAUUAAUAACUGAGGCACAAGGCAGUUUACAAAUUGAAAUAAAUAUGGUGCAGUAUUUAAAUAAAAACAGUAUAAUCCAGGCAUGGGCCAAUUUGGGCCCUGAUCAAGGUUGUUGUUGGCAAAAAGGAAAAUUUCAGAUAGAAGACAAUGGAGCAAAACAUGAGUGUUUUUUAUUGGACUGCAACUCCCAGCAUCCCUUACACUAGAUGAUCCUGGCUGGAAUUAAUAAUAAUAUAACAAACCGCCUUGGAAGGUCAUGGAAUAUUUGGAGACUUUUAAAGCAGAGGGUGGGUGGCCAUCUCUUGGGAGAGAUUGAAUGGUGUCUUCCUUUAUGGCAGAAGGGACUUGGUCUGGAUGGCCUCUAGGGUCCUUUUCAGUUCCAUAAUCUGAGAGUUUACAAAAUGGUAGACUCUACAACUUUGGAGGACUUUCAAUAGGGGCUGGGUGGCCAUCUCUUGGGAGGGCUUGGAUGGUGUUUUCCUUUCAGGGCAGGACUGGAUGGCCCUUGGGAUUCCCUUCCAACUCUAUGAGUCUAAUAAUAAUAAUAAGACAAUACAUAAUAUACAGUAGAGUCUCACUUAUCCAAGACUCGCUUAUCCAAGGUUCUGGAUUAUCCAACGCUUUUUUGUAGUCAAUGUUUUCAAUAUAUCAUGAUAUUUUGGUGCUAAAUUUGUAAAUACAGUAAUUACAACAUAACAUUACUGCGCAUCAAAGUACCUUUUCUGUCAAAUUUGUUGUAUAACAUGAUGUUUUGGUAUUUAAUUUGUAAAAUCAUAACCUAAUUUGAUGUUUAAUAGGCUUUUUCUUAAUCCCUCCUUAUUAUCCAAGAUAUUCGCUUAUCCAAGUUUCUGCCGGCCCGUUUAGCUUGGAUAAGUGAGACUACUGUAAUAGCAAGUUGAUCUUGUUUUAUGGCAGAACAGGAUUGGACUGAAUAGUCCUUGGAGUUCACUUCCAACUUUAUGAAUUCAACAACAACAAC
rnacentral:lncRNA from 11 species